GGUAUGUAGUAGGUCAUCAGGUAUUGGUCACAUACUGUUUCAUGAAACUGUCUUACUAGUGAUUUCUGCUUACUAUAGAGUAGGGAGGUACGCAAAUUCGGACACGAAUCAGACUGAUCCGAUUCUGGAGUUCAAUUCACUGACUGAACAAUAGAGUAGCAGCCUUUAACUGAAGCGAAUCAGACGAGUGGAUAGCGAUCACAAAAAGCUAUGGCAUGGCAUCAGAAGACUUUGAAAAUAUGUAACGACUCGUGUUGAUUACUUUUGUGUUUCACGGAAGAAAGAAAGUCAAACGGGUUUGAAAUGGGGACAGGAAGAUUAUAAUCAAGAAAACAUCAUAACGAACAUUCUGCAGAUGGACGCCGCAUAUUUAGACAGCUGAGAUCGCUUUUAGAUGACCAUGUGGCAACUGAGGACAAUGGGAGUAAGUGGACUUUCGUUUACCGGAGAAACUCCUGGAGAAGUGCCCAGUUCUCCUUCACCUCGGCCUGUUUGCAUGUAACUCUUCUGGCCAGGGUUGGGUGGAGAGUUGACAGCCGAGACACAGACUCAUUCAGCAUCUGGAAAGAGAGUUGUCCAAGGAGGGGUGGGGUCAUGGAAGGAAAUGACAUCAUUCAUUUGGAGUUCAUUUGCUACAGUCCGGAGGAAAAAAAAAAAAAACUUAUGUGUGAGACCAAUGCAACGGGCUACUAUUCGGUCCAGUGAGAAAUCAAACAUAAAAAAACAAAGUGACUGUGACACUGCGACACUGUUUUCAUGUUCUCAAAUUCAGGAGACAGUAUUUCCUCUAAUGAGAUCAUGGAUUGACUUACACUUAUCUGACAGGCAAUUUCUAUGGUCUCUUUGUCACUUUUUGGGAUGUCGUCCACCAGUACACAGUUCCUCUGCAACAAAAUUCAGACUGAAUCAGGACUUGUAUUGCAAUCAUGAUUAAUUAAGACUGUUUGAGGUCUUCUCUAAAUGCCAAAACUAAUCAACCCUUGUUUUCUCAACCUUGCUGUUGAUGGCGCCAAUAAUGCUGUCGGCUUGUUGGUAAAAUGAUGAGACGUCUAAAGCCAACAUGAGAUCCUGAUGAUAGUCCCUCAGGAGUGACCUCAACUUUAGCCACCUGCAGAGAAACCAAACAGUUUAUGUCUCUAACAAGAGUGUAAUAAUGCUCUACGCUUUAUUGUGCCAGGAAAUCUUACGAUUUGUCAACGUGGUCCCCCAGGCUUUGUCUUCUUCUAAACAUUUCCAAUCCUAAAUCUACAGCAUCUGUCUUCUUCUGAAGAGGUUUUUCUGGUUCCUCCUGGCAUAGGAGAUGAAUUAAGAGUACAUGAGGUAAUGGUACAAGAAGACACAUUAAUAAACAAAACAGAAACCUCUUUAUGAUGCAUUUAACCUGCAUCAAGU